AACGGGGGGACAGAUUGUGACUUACCAGCGGGAUGUCGGCUCAUAACCCGAAGGUCGCGGGUUCGAAUCCCGCCCCCG
rnacentral:tRNA from 1 species